ensembl:processed_transcript 2010204K13Rik RIKEN cDNA 2010204K13 gene
AAGUCAGCCGUGCCGCGACACGUGUUAAUAAGCAGAGACUCGAGCUUCCUCCAAGUUUGGACCUUAGUGGGCCGGAUGAUUUGGAACUUGGAGAACUGAGAAAUAAAAACGGGUGUGAUUUUGCCAGCUGAAGGCAGUUUACAUUCGGAGUUCCGCGGACUCUUCAGAGGCUGUAAAAAUGCCGGAGUCACGAAAGCCUGCAAAGAGCUGUUGCUUGCCUUGCUGCUGCUGCUGCUACUGCCGUCCCUGCCCGUGCUGCAGCUGCUACUCCUGCUGCUGCUGCUGCUGCUUGUUGCUGAUUGUUGCGGUUGCUGGUUGCUGUUUACUGUUUGCUGCCGGCUGGAUUGCUGGAUUGCUGAUUGCCAGUCGGCGAAAUCCUGGCGAUGAAGAUCCAACUUGCCCCAAGAAACAAGACGACCCUAAGAAGUAGUCUAAUGAUUUCAAUACGCCCUUUCCCCCUCUGACCUUUCUCUCUUACCUUAUGCUGGGGGAUUGGAAGGGUGGCAGAAAAAAGAACCCAAUAAAGUAGCCAAAAGUAAA